rnacentral:rRNA from 1 species
GACGUAGGGUCCAAGCGUUGUCCGGAUUUACUGGGCGUAAAGAGCGCGUAGGCGGCUCGUUAAGUGUGAAGUGAAAUCUCCCGGCUCAACUGGGAAACUGCAUCGGAAACUGAUCGGCUUGAAGAUGGGAGAGGGUAGUGGAAUUCCCGGUGUAGUGGUGAAAUGCGUAGAUAUCGGGAGGAACACCAGUGGCGAAGGCGACUACCUGGCCCAUUCUUGACGCUGAGGCGCGAAAGCUAGGGGAGCGAACGGG